GACGAACGCUGGCGGCGUGCCUAAUACAUGCCAGUAGAACGCACAGUUUAUACCGUAGCUUGCUACACCAUAGACUGUGAGUUGCGAACGGGUGAGUAACGCGUAGGUAACCUGCCUGGUAGCGGGGGAUAACUAUUGGAAACGAUAGCUAAUACCGCAUAAUAUUGAUUAUUGCAUGAUAAUUGAUUGAAAGAUGCUAUUGCAUCACUACCAGAUGGACCUGCGUUGUAUUAGCUAGUAGGUGAGGUAACGGCUCACCUAGGCGACGAUACAUAGCCGACCUGAGAGGGUGAUCGGCCACACUGGGACUGAGACACGGCCCAGACUCCUACGGGAGGCAGCAGUAGGGAAUCUUCGGCAAUGGACGAAAGUCUGACCGAGCAACGCCGCGUGAGUGAAGAAGGUUUUCGGAUCGUAAAGCUCUGUUGUAAGAGAAGAACGGGUGUGAGAGUGGAAAGUUCACACUGUGACGGUAUCUUACCAGAAAGGGACGGCGAACCACGU
rnacentral:rRNA from 1 species